ACCCUUCUGUAUCCGUGCUGAGAUCUCGUCACACACCAGACCACAAGGGCUUAUGAGACUUCCAAGUUAAGUGAAACG
rfam:Schistosoma margrebowiei strain Zambia genome assembly, scaffold: SMRZ_scaffold0002927